GGCGGUUGCUUCAAUCAGGGUAUUGCUCAGAAAGAAAGAUUUCAGAUGUUUAGGCACAUCUGUCACAAGGAAAUAAGCACAGGAGUGGGGAGCCUGGUGAUGACGAUGGCAAUGAUGAUUGAAAGCACGGGUGGAGUGGAACUGAUCAAAGGCAGGGUGAUGACUUGAGAGAGAGCAGAGCACCCGGUUACCCAUUCAUAAAUGGAUGUGAUUCUCCAUCCCAGCUCCAGAGGCUGCUACUAAUUAUCUGCUUGUUCACGGAAAGUGAGAUGAUUGUUCCAACUGAUGGAUAUUAAAACUUGUGGAUUAAAGGUAUGUCUUCUGUACUCUUGCCCUUAGUAUCUUUGUUGAAUGAAAAUAAAUCAUCUGCUGCUAGGAACUUUAUAGCUAUCAGUGAAGACAAUAAUAUUUUUAUAUCCUUUGAGCUCUUUAAAAUUUUUAUCAUUUACCCAAAAUGAGAAAGAAGGACAUCAGUUGCCAGA